GGGACCCUGAGAGGAGACCGUGGUGCCCUCGGUGUCUCCGGAAGGGCGUUUUAAGGAUAACUUGUUUUCAUCUUAUAUGUGGUCGGCCUGGGUGCCCUGUUCACGUACCUGAUUUUUCACAAGGUCACACGUAAAAUGUUUGAGGCUUUUUCCAGAGGUUAGAGAAUCUAUGUGACGUGUUUUCUGGAUCAUCCAGAUUUUUAUUUCAAGAGUUUUGUGCGUUUUAACAGGGUAAGACAGUGAAAUGUGGAAAAAGCUCACCCACUUCCCUUAAAAGCUGCCGCUGGCAAUUGAAUUUCCUUAGCAUGGUGAGCCUUAGCGAAGGCCAUCAGAGUUUGAAGGGUAGACGGUGGCCCUGCCAAUUCAUGGACCUUUAUUAAUUUUAGAUAGAUUUAGUCCUGUCUAAGUGGACCCAGCGCUUUCUCUCCCCUGUGAGUUUUUAGUUUACAAGCCUUUUUUUCUAGAAAGCUCGGUGCCAGGUCCCUUUUUUACAAAUUGCAACUUGAGUCUCUUUGUCACCUUUGGACAUGAACCACAUGUAGUCUUUAGAUUUAGCUGUCGGUUAUUGUUUUAAUCACUGCAGGGGUAACGGUGAGUCAUUGGAACUUUAUAGACGGUCCCCUCCCCUGUCGUCCUGGCCAGAGGCCUGCUCUGGGCUCAGCGUGGACCCCUGGCUGCUGGUGUGCACUCACAGCUGCCACCUUUGUGUCACUUUGAGGUUCAAGGUGGUAGGGUCUGUCUUGGGACAUUUCGGGCACUUGGAAUAGGUCGAUUCUCUGCACGUCUCCCCGCUUUGUAACUCACGCGGUGACAACUGAGAUGCUUUGAGUGGCCUGGGGCCACGUGCUGCUCCUGCCCCUCUCAUCCAAGACGUCACGGAAGGUGUUCUGCUUUAUACUGUCGUGUAGCCGUUUGGUCCGAUUUAGGAGAGGCUGCAAGAGGGGAGACCUCCUGUCUUCCAGGUGUCGGUCAGCAUGUCCUUGGCAGGGAUCCUCCGAUUGUGUCCUUCAGUCACCUGAGUGAACAUUACUCUGUUGACUCAUCUGGGAGAUUCUCAGGGCGCUGGGUUGAAUUUUUUUGAGGUGGAAUCACAUAGCAUAACGUCAAUAACUCUCUGGAAGUGUACCGUUCAACGGUGCGUAGGGCCUGUGCCCCGUGGGGCCACCAUCACCUCCGUCUCGUUCCAGAACAUCUUCAUCCCCGGAAGGAAGGCCACCCCAUCAGCGGUCCCUCCCCUCCUCCCUCCCCCAGGCCCUGGCAACACCGUCCGCCCUUCAUCUCGGGACUGGCCUGUGCUGGACAUGGCUCGUGGGUGGAAUCCCACAGUGUGUGACCAUUUGCGUCUGACUUCCUUUGUUCAGCAUCAUGUCUUUGAGGCCCACCCGUAUCGUAGCACAUAUCAGUACUUCAUGCUUUUUUAUGGCUGAGUUCCCUUGUAUGCACGUCCCAAAUUCUGCUUUAUGAGCCUGACAGAAUGUUACAGUCUAGCAUUGAUGGCAGUUUCCACAGUAAACAUGUCGUGGUUCUCCUGAACAGUGCAGCGUUUUGGGGUCGAACACCUGUCAUUGUCUUAAGGUAUCUGAGGUGAGCCUUGGCUUUGCCCACCUCCCACGGGGAGGCCAUCAGUGUCAUCAAAGACGCCAGCUCUAUCUUUUGUCAGUUUACGGUCGGGGCCUUUGGGAUCUGCCCUCAUCGAGCUAAAUUUAAUCUUCCCAGAGAACAGACCCGUGAACUCUGCUUUUUCUCAAAGGCUGAAUUUCAGGAGCUAACGUGGAGAGUAUCCACCCUGCGUGUGCCGCUGGCGCCCGGACUGUGGCUGCCGUCGCAGGCUAGCUGUGGGUUUGUAGAUGCAGCGGUGGAGCCUGGCGCGCCUGUCUGUUCGCAUGGUGCUCUCCCUGCGGCAGAGACCAGCACCUCCUCACCUAGCUCUGGGGUUCUUAGCCCGCGUUCCGCCUUCCCAAGCCUCUGAGAAGCCAAGAUGGCCCUAAAAGGUCCGUGAAAAACCUGAAUUUCUGUGCCAGACCACAUGCCCACCUGCGUACCACAUGUGUUUUCCCAGAGAGAGGAUUCGUGCUUUCGUCAGAUUCCAAAAGGGACCCAGGACCCCAAAUGAUCAACAGUCAUUACUCUAAGUAGCCAAAAUAUUAAUUUCCUGGGUUACUCCAGGUCAGCAGUUCUCAAACUUUUAAGUCCCAGGCCCCCUAUACACGUUAAAAAAUUAUCGGGCGUGUAGCCAUCAGUAUUUACCAUAUUAGAAAUUAAAAUGGAAAGUUAAAAAAUAUUUAUGUUUAAAAACAAUAGUAAACCCGUUACAUAUUCAUAUUACUUUUUUGCAAACAUCUCUAAUAAAAGUUAGGUUCUCCAGUCUUGUGUGCUCAGUCUGUUGUGCUGUCACCAGUCAGGCAGCCUCUGGAAGCCUCUUCUAUUCACCAAUGAGAGUGAGAAAGGUGGGGAGCGGCUUGGAGGCAUUUUGAAUAUAGUUUUGUGACCAUGGAACCCCUGAAAGGCCUUAUGGGGUCUUCAGCCACACUUGGAGGGCAGCGUGUGUGGACCCUGCUCAGUUGUCCUCUGCUCCUGUGACACCAGCGGGCACUGAGGGAGGCCUUAGCAAGAAGCUUUGGAAGCUUGCUCUGCUGUUUACUGUUGGCAUUUUGGUGAGGAGCUGGUCUGGUACAAGGGAGACAGCGCAUGUCGCCUCUCCCAGUUUCAGUGCUGGGGGAGCUAGGUCACUUUAGGGCCACUGGUGGGUUUUUAAAUCUUAUGAAAACAGAUUUUCCUGACUGAUCCUCUUUUCUUCUUUGCUUUGGCAACUGAGGAGCUAAUUUUCAGCUCACUUUCAUCUCUCAAAACAUGGUACGCACAUCUGUAUCUCAUUUCUGGCUUUCUUAUUUUCCUUAUUUCCUCUCAAUUUCUUCAUCUACAUCUUGUUUUCCAAUUAUAUAUUUCUGUAAAUUAUAACUUAUUCUCUGUGCUUCCGUAAACUGUCAUCUUUUUUUUGAAGACUGAGUAUAAAUCCUCUUAAGUAAAACUUUUUCCUUUAUCGUAUUAUUGUGUAAAGUGUCUUUAUACACUAUUAGCGCCCAGUAGAGUAUAGAGUCCAUUUUGAUUUACAGAAAUGAGUGAAUCACUGUCAUUUCUGCUGUCAUUUUCCUUGGAUUACUUUAGAUAAAUCAAACCUUGCCCAUCCGCUAUCUGGAAGCACUAGGAUGCUGUUUGGUCCAUCAUAUACUAUAUAUAGUAGAGUUGGGUGGCAGUUCAGUUAUUUCCUGCCCGCCCACGGCCUCUGUCCUCUUUGCCCAUUUUAUUUCUGUCUCAUGUACACAGGCGUUCUCAGCAUCCGUGUCGUCUUCAUUUAAUCACAACAGGCUUUGGUGCCUGCUUUCGGAGCUUCUAGAAAUUAUUUUCACACAGUUCUUUGUUAUGUGUGUUUGUUUUUAUCAGUGUUCUGCUAAUUUUAAACAGAUGAAAACUUAAAAUAAUGAUGUUUGCAAACUAUGAGACCCUCCUCCUGGUCAUUAGGGCCUGAAAUUGGUUCAGGCCGAGCUGGGCCCCCAGGUGGGCCGAUGGUGACGUGGUCAGGGCUCGGCUCACGCACCCUGCCUCACUCUGUCAGAGGGUACACGUGUGUCAUAAAGAGGGAUCUCACUGGGACUGAGGAAGAAAAUAGCAUCCUACUUCAUGCAGAGUGAACCGGAUAGAGAUCAAAAUGUAUUUUAUAGAAAAUAUUGAUUCUUCUAAUUUGGGGGUGAUUAGAUUUUGUGUAUUUGUUACUAUAUAGAUGCUGUCAUGUGGACUUUCAGGAGGCUGUGCAGCCUUCUAACUGAUGAAGAGCGAGGUUUUGUCUUCCUGUAAUUCUCAAGUGAAGUCCAGUCACCCAAGGAAAAAUCAAGUCCAGUUACAAUGUAGGCAUUAGCGAUGGGGCUGAAACAGCUCUCUGGACUGGCCUCAUUGGCCUUUCUGCUUCUUUUGCUUCCCAAAGCAUAAUCCUAAAUCAUCUCAGAAAGACAGGUUCCGCCAGUUCAUGGCAUUUACUCAGGCUGGCGCGAGGACUGCCGUCCACUGCUUAGCGCAGAGUGGGUGGAAACUGGACGUGGCCACAGACAGCUUCUUCCACAACCUGGACUCAUUCCACAAGGACUCCAUGAGAACCUCCGUGGACAGGAAGAAGCUGGAGCAGCUGUAUAACAGGUACAGAGGUAAGGGGCGCAGUGGCGACCGCGUCCAUCUGCAGGGAGCAGGGUAGCUGUUCCAGAGUCUCGGGGGCCGUGUCCCAAGCCCUCCGAGGUGCUGCCCCAUCCCUCGCUCCUGCGCAGCUGCGGUUCAGUCAGGUUAAGCGGAUCCGUGGCUGUGGAUGGCUCGAGGCUAGGGUGGGAUGAGACGUCUGGGGUCUGAAGGCUGAUCGGCAGCGAGCCCUCCUGCACGUGGCCUGCGCGGAGGCUCACCUGCCCGCAGGCAGCUGUGGGCGGUCACCGCUCGGAGGCUUGGUGUCCAGGCCAAGGUGGCUCCCCCCGUGAAGACGGUGUGUUUCCCCAGCACGUCCAUCUAGGUAGGAGUCCCUGGUGAGAAGGCUGUUUGAGGAUUAUCCCAGAUCGUGAGUGUGGUUCUGACGCGAGGGUAGCACCUGCCCUUAACACCGUGUGGUGGUGGUUGAGCCCUGGAACAGCUCCUGCUGCAGAAGCUUCUGGAAAAGCUCUUGGCAGAAAAGCCUUUGUGUUGUAAGUUGGGGACAGUUGUUAUUUUUAUUGAAAUCGGCACUUAGAAUAGAGCUUCCCCUGUCAAAAUACAGUCAUGCUGCAAAAAUAAGUCUGCACGAUGAGUCUGUGCAGAUUCAGACGGCUCAGCAGGCUUUAAAUUCCGCGUCAAAUGUCAGGUCUGUGCUGUAAUGGGAGCAGUGGCAACGGUUCAAGGGUCGAUUUAUUUUUUCUUUCUAGCAGUUUCUAAGCUUGAUCUUACAUUUCCAAAACUUAAAAAUAAAACCUCUCAUUUGAACACAACUGGAAUGGCUCCCUUGUCUUUCAGUUCUUGUUUAUUAUUUUCAUUUUUUGCUUUUGAAAAUACUGUGUAUAGUGUAAUCUAUUUAGAUGCAAAAAACCAAUUGAAAAUUGCAUUCUUUAAAAAAAAAAUCUUGGUUCAGGAACAUAUUCUGAGGUUAAAAAAACAGAUUUGCACUUGUAUUUCUCCAAAAAUGAGCAUUAUUUUCAGUGUGCUUUGAAUUUUUUUGGCUAAGUUAAUUACUGAGCUAAUUUUGUAAGUCAUAUGCUAUGCAGAUUUUUCAAGUUAUUCAGAUAUGUGCAGCUGCCUUUGGAAGAAUAUUUUUGUAUGAAAAUUAUCUUUAUUCUCUAGUUUAAGCUUCAUGCCUUCAUCAUUUAAUUUUAUCCUUGCAGUUCUAGUCAUUUAAAGUAGACAUAUGGUACAAUCAUUUUGGGCCCUAAAAAUACAUGUAUAGUUCAGAGACUAUUAACAAGUAGAACAUCCAUUGUUACAAUGUAUACAAAUGAAUGAGUGUGUCCAAACUACUUUCAAGCAUCCAGUAUUGUAUAUGAAGUUCAUUGGGACACUUAUUAGCUUAUUAGGUGAGGGUGUCAUAGACCCAUUUUUCGAUCAUCCUGAAGGCCUGCCGUGUUGGGAGCACAGGCUUGAGUCAGAAGGUGCGCGGGAGCCCAUGUCCUGUGCGCCCACAGGGUCUCACGGACAUGGGAGCGUAGAGCUGGAAGGGUCUGUGUGAUUUUGCUCACUAAAGGCAGGUCAGCAGUUCUUUUGUAACUACAUAUAUGUAUAUAAAUGUGGUGCUGAGCACUGUUUUAUUUUGUGUGAUGGAAGGAGAGUUUGUUGCACUUAACCUUCCUUUGCGUGAAGGUGCCACAGGCCUGCUUCUCGCACCUUCCCUAGCAGCAGGUGGCCGUCAUUGCGAUGCCAGUCAGGAGAGACGGGCUGCAGUCAUGGGGCCUCGCGUGGCAAGGGCUUGCUGAUUCUUUUAACAGAUUUCACUGUUUGAUUUUCCCAUGGAGAAAUGCUAAGUUCCUUCAUUUUAUUUCUAAACUGGAAAUUGGGGGGUGGGGGGGACUGAAUUUCUAAGCUGUUAAACACGGGUGCGGAAUCUAAAUGACUGCAAAAUAAGUAUUCUGCAAUGGCAUUAGCACUAUAGCAAAUGAAAUCACUUUUAAAAGAAAAGCGUCUUUCUUUUGCUUUGACAAAGUGGUGAUAAAAACUUAAAAAAUAUUUUGAAUACUUUCCCAGUGCAGUGUUUUUCAUAGCAGUUUGCCUUUGGGCAAGGUAAAAUUCUGUAAACUUGAAAUUUUAUUUUACUUCAGGGAAAUUAAUUUUUUUCUUAAUGAUGAAGUCUUCAAAGAAGACUUCCCCCCCACUCACCCCGCGAAAACCCUAGAUUUUAAACCUAGGGUUAAAAACAGGAGCCCUAGAUUUUAAAAAUAGGAGUAUUUUCUGAAUAAAUUAUUACUUGCUGCUCUUUCUUUCAUAUAAAUAGUAGAAACUUAUAGUGUAUUGAUUGAUGUAUUUGAAACAUGCUUGCCAGAACUAUGCAGUAAAAGUAUGAUUCUUGCCACCCAUUUUAGUAAUGCUUUUCAAAAUACGCAAAGCUUUAACAUCUUUUUCCCUUAAUUUAACUAUAGACACAUAAGAUGAAAAUAAAAUUGGAAUUGAUGGAAUUCAACAGUUUUGUGAUGAUUUAAGCCUAGAUCCUGCCAGUAUCACUGUUUUGGUUAUAGCGUGGAAAUUCAGGGCUGUGACUCACUGUGAAUUUAGCAAAAGGAAUUUGUAGAUGGCAUGGCAGAGCUUGGAAAGGGUGCUUUAUUCAGGAGGCCAGCAACCUGGGAAGAUGGUGGACCAGUGUCCUCAGACCAUCUCCAAGCUGCUGGUUACGGGACAGAAGCUGUAAAAGGGGGUCUCAGGUGUGUACAGGCUGGGAGGUGGGCUACACGCCGAACAGGACAGUCAGCUCCAGGGAUCAUCUCAAGACUGCUCCUGCAGCGGUCUGGCCAGCAUCAUCUCCAUGGUCUUAUGCACAGUUCAUCUUCUGUUCCAGGGUGGGUCUGAUUCCACCUGCGUAAACCCUGGACCUCUGUGUUCCUGGUCAUUUUCAGCUGUGGAUACACAUCCCAGGAGUUCUUGGUUCUCCCAGCUCCGGCCUAGGCGGGCAGAGCAGGAUGGUAUUUAGCAGCUGGUAUCACGUUUCCAGAAGACCUCACGUGAUGUCUCAACUGGAGACAUUUUGACAAAGAGGAACCAACCAGUAUAUACGUGGAGGAGACAACAAGGAGAAAACUCGGCCAGGAUUGGCUCACUGGCACAUCCUACCAAGCUUUUAAUGAAGAGAAUAACACCGAUUUCACACCACCUCUUGCAGAGAAGAGCACAGGAAGAAAUACUCCCAAUGUGUUUGGAGGCCAGCACAACCUAGAUAAUAGAGCUGGGAAGGACGUUUUGAGAAUGGAAAAUUACAGGCCACCCUCGGCUGUGAGAAUCAAGAUGCAUACGACCAACACACGAUGCAGAAACCCUAGGCAAGUUCUCAGCAAAGUAAGUCUAGCCCCCAAAACAAAGCAACCAAGAAACCAGGAUAACUCGUCACGACAAAGCUUGUUGUAGUCCAGGAACGCAAGAUUUGUUUAACAUUACGAAGCUGAUCAAUGUAGUUUAUCACAGUACCAGAGAAGGGAGGGCGCGUGUGGUCUCAGCGAAGAACAUGGGACUAUUCAAGCUUCAGUAACUAAGAGUGCAUGGUGUUGGGGGCCAGAGUAGAUGCAGAGCCCAGAAACAAAUCCAUGUGUACAGGAACACUUGAUUUAUGGCAGAGGAGGCCCUUUAGAGAGGCGGAGAAGGGACAGCUUUUCAGUAAACGGUCCUGGGAGAAUUGGUUAGUCGUAUGGGAAAAAAACGCAUCUCGAUCUCCACCUCACACUGUACAUGGAAGCCAGUUCAAGUGGGUUGUAGAUUUCAGGGUGAGAGGCUGAAGGCAGAAACCUUUAGAAAAUAAUGGAGGAGUAUAUCUUUACGGCCAUGCAGUAGGGCAGGUUGUGAAAUGUCAUCAGAAAUCACUGUAGAGAAGACUGAUAGCGGGUAUGACACUAAAGUAAGAACGUCUGAUCAAGAAACAGCAUCGAGAAGUGCAGCAUCCCCGGGAGGGGCGGGGUGCGUGAUGUGUAGAGAAUUCCCACAGAACAAGAAAACCCAGUUGAGGGUGCGCAGCAGGCUUGACCAAGCCCUUCACGGAAGAUGCUUUCCAAGCGGCCAGGCGGGUGCGCAGCCUGGUUCACGGGGGUAUGCAAAUUAAAACACAACGAAAUAGGGCCUCACAGCUCACGCUUCCAGGACAGCUCCAGAAAGCACGGGUGGGCAGUCAGCUUGGAGCACCGCUUGACAAGACGUGUGAAAUCGUGGGUGGGUGUCUGCCUCGCAACACACCCACUCGCAUGCCAGGGUACACGUACAGAAACCUUUCACCAGCACUCUCUGUGACCAGAAAACUAGAAACAGCCAAAGGCUUUACCAUCAGUAGCACGUAGGUGUUUUAAAAUAUGAACGUGGUGGCGUGCUGGGUGGCAACGGAAAUGAACCAAGCAGACCCACGUGUGGUGCAGAAAUCCAGACGCAAAAGAACCCACCGGGAGCUCCCACGUGUAAACUUCGAAGCAGGGACUCAGCCGCCAGGGAGCACGCGUCCAGCCGACGGCGGCGUGAGGAAGAGCGGGGAGUGGUGGCCGCCUGCAGGAGGGGCACCGUGACGGGCGCGCAGGGCCGACGCCCAGCCAGGUGCCUCUGCCCGCCCCGCCUGCCGCACUUGGGCUCGCGGGUCAGUGAAGUGUGGCUUCUGGUCUCUUUCUUGCCGUGCCGUCGAAAUAAACGACAGAUUUUACAUUUUGCUAUUCUACAUUUCUGCUUUAACAAGGGCUUUUAAAUACCCCUAAAGGUUGUUGACUUUUUGGAGGAAAAUACAAUUUUAAAGCAAUAGAGUGGUUUUUUUUUUUAAUAAAUUUAUUUAUUUAAUUGGCUGUGUUGGGUCUUCGUUGCUGCACACGGGCUUUCUCCAGAUGUGAGGAGCCCGGGGCUACUCUUCCUUGUGGCGCACGGGCUUCGUUGCUCCGAGGCAUGUGGGAUCUUCUUGGGGCAGGGAUGGAACCCGUGUCCCCUGCGUUGGCAGGCGGAUUCUUAACCACUGCGCCACCAGGGACGUCCCUAGAGUGGUGUUUUAUUAUACUUGAUAUUUUAAAUCCAACCUGCUGUACUAAACAGUCCGCUGGAUGCAGGGGCUUCAGUGCUGCAGCCUGUCUCCCCUGGGACAGUACAGGCUCCAGGGGACUCCGCUCUGCCGUGACUGAGAGCCUG